AAGGUGAAAUUCUCAGAUUAACUAAAGACUAACUUGUGCGAAAGCAUUUGCCAAGGAUGUUUUCAUCGAUCAAGAACGAAAGU
rnacentral:rRNA from 1 species